rnacentral:rRNA from 1 species
GAUGAACGCUGGCGGCGUGCUUAACACAUGCAAGUCGAACGGAAAGGCCCAAGCUUGCUUGGGUACUCGAGUGGCGAACGGGUGAGUAACACGUGGGUGAUCUGCCCUGCACUUCGGGAUAAGCCUGGGAAACUGGGUCUAAUACCGGAUAGGACCACUUCUUGGAUGUUGUGGUGGAAAGUUUUUUCGGUGUGGGAUGAGCUCGCGGCCUAUCAGCUUGUUGGUGGGGUAAUGGCCUACCAAGGCGUCGACGGGUAGCCGGCCUGAGAGGGUGUACGGCCACAUUGGGACUGAGAUACGGCCCAGACUCCUACGGGAGGCAGCAGUGGGGAAUAUUGCACAAUGGGCGCAAGCCUGAUGCAGCGACGCCGCGGGGGGGAUGACGGCCUUCGGGUUGGAAACUCCUUUCGCUAGGGACGAAGCGUUUUGUGACGGUACCUGGAGAAGAAGCACCGGCUAACUACGUG